rnacentral:rRNA from 1 species
CCGAUCUCGAAAACCUGUCCCAGUUCGGACUGGAGUCUGCAACCCGACUCACGAAGUUGGAUUCGCUAGUAAUCGCGCAUCAGCCAUGGCGCGGUGAAUACGUUCCCGGGCCUUGUACACACCGCCCGUCAAGCCAUGGGAGCCGGGGGCGCCUGAAGUCCGGGACCGCGAGGACCGGCCUAAGGCGAAACUGGUGACUGGGGCUAAGUCGUAACAAGGUAAC